UUUUCUAUUUUCUGCCCUCUUCAUUUUUUCUAUUUUUCUUUUUUCUCCUCCUUUUUGCCUAUUUUUUGCCGUUUCUCUGCUCUAUUUUCUGCUUCCUUCUCCGCUGCCUUUUGGCUGCCACCUUCUCGCCUCCCUGCGUCCUUCCCAGCCAGCAGCUUUUAACCAAAAUGUCCUUUUUUCUCCUUUUUCUCCUCCUGCCCAGCCUCGGCACAGGCACCCUCAGCCUCUACAACCUCCUCUCCUCGCCAUUUUUUGGGCUCAAAUCUCGGCUUUUCUGGGCUGCGUGAAGCAGGCGUGCCCUCGGCGGUUUUGGGGAAAAACGGCCGCAAUUUGGGUUAAUUCGGGGUGGAGCCACUCCUCAGCCUCCUCCUCAAAUUCAUUACAAUUUGGCGUUUUCUCUCUUCCAUUAUUUAAAUCUUCCUCACGUCUACAUUUUUAUCUUCGCUCUUGAUUUAUUUUUUUUUCCAAAUUAUUUCCUCCUUUCCAUUAAUCUUCUCCUUAAGCCAUCUUCUAUCUCUUUAGCACCGAAAUUUUGGAUUUUUUAGCUCAGAUUUUUUUUUUUUUCCUCCUCCUCUUCGGCUCCACACCCUCCGGCUGGCGGCUUGUGAAAAGCCCCAAUUUCCCCUGAUCCUGC
rnacentral:lncRNA from 1 species